GACGUAGGGGGCGAGCGUUGUCCGGAUUUAUUGGGCGUAAAGCGUGCGUAGGCGGCUGCGCAAGUCGGGUGUGAAACCCCGGGGCUCAACCCCGGAACUGCAUCCGAUACUGCCCGACUAGAGGUAGGUAGGGGAGAUCGGAAUUCCUGGUGUAGCGGUGAAAUGCGCAGAUAUCAGGAGGAACACCGGUGGCGAAGGCGGUUCUCUGGGCCUGUACUGACGCUGAGGAGCGAAAGCGUGGGGAGCGAACAGG
rnacentral:rRNA from 1 species